rnacentral:rRNA from 1 species
CACGUAGGGUGCGAGCGUUGUCCGGAAUUAUUGGGCGUAAAGAGCUCGUAGGCGGUGUGUCGCGUCGGCCGUGAAAACCUGCAGCUUAACUGUGGGCUUGCGGUCGAUACGGGCAUCACUGGAGUUCGGCAGGGGAGACUGGAAUUCCUGGUGUAGCGGUGAAAUGCGCAGAUAUCAGGAGGAACACCGGUGGCGAAGGCGGGUCUCUGGGCCGAUACUGACGCUGAGGAGCGAGAGCGUGGGGAGCGAACAGG